AUAAAUAAAUAAAUACAUAAAAUUUUAAUAAAACAAAAUCAUAGGUAAAUAAUAGUUAAGAAAUAGAAGACAUCUAAUCUUAUGUAAGUGAAGUUACUCAAUUGGACUACCUAACGUAAUUAAAGUGGAUUAAUUUUACUGACAAGUGAUGCUAGUAGCCAUACAUUAUCAUUAUUAAACUUAAUGUUAGAUGUCCCUGUGAGAUUGCCCGAAGGAUUACAUCUUAAGAAUGCUCUAUUGAAGCAUAUUUCACAAAUACAUUAUAUGGUGCAAGCAUUCGAUGUAGAGGACAAUAGCAAACAGGAGUUGAAGGU
rnacentral:lncRNA from 1 species